rnacentral:rRNA from 1 species
AAGGUUUUUCGCUGAAGGAUGAGCCUGCGUCCGAUUAGCUAGUUGGUAGGGUAAUGGCCUACCAAGGCAACUAUCGGUAGCUGGUCUGAGAGGAUGACCAGCCACACUGGAACUGAGACACGGUCCAGACUCCUACGGGAGGCAGCAGUAGGGAAUAUUGCACAAUGGAGGAAACUCUGAUGCAGCGACGCCGCGUGAGUGAUGAGGGCCUUCGGGUUGUAAAGCUCUGUUCUUGGGGACGAAAAAAAUGACGGUACCCAAGGAGAAAGGAUCGGCUAACUUCGUGCCAGCAGCCGCGGUAAGACGAGGGAUCCUAGCGUUGCUCGGAAUUAUUGGGCGUAAAGCGGUCGUAGGUGGCUUCGUAAGUCAGUAGUGAAAGCCCUGGGCUUAACCCGGGAAGUGCUAUUGAUACUGCUUAGCUUGAGUGUGGGAGAGGAUAGUAGAAUUCCUGGUGUAGUGGUGAAAAUACGUAGAUAUCAGGAGGAAUCCCGGUGGGGAAGCCGGCUAUCUGGCCUAACACUGACACUCAGACCCGAAAGCGUGGGGAUCAAACAGGAUUUAGAUAUCCUGGUAGUCCACGCCAUAAACGAUGGAUACUUGUUGUUGGAGGUAUUGACCCCUUCAGUGACGAAACU